rnacentral:rRNA from 1 species
UACGUAGGGGGCAAGCGUUGUCCGGAUUUAUUGGGCGUAAAGAGCGUGUAGGCGGCCACACAGGUCCGUUGUGAAAACUCGAGGCUCAACCUCGAGACGUCGAUGGAAACCGUGUGGCUAGAGUCCGGAAGAGGAGUGUGGAAUUCCUGGUGUAGCGGUGAAAUGCGCAGAUAUCAGGAAGAACACCUAUGGCGAAGGCAGCACUCUGGGACGGUACUGACGCUGAGACGCGAAAGCGUGGGGAGCGAACAGGAUUAGAUACCCCGGUAGUCC